rnacentral:rRNA from 1 species
AUGCGAUACUUGGUGUGAAUUGCAGAAUCUCGUGAACCAUUGAGUCUUUGAACGCAAGUUGUGCCCGAGGCCUUCUGGCCGAGGGCACGCCUGCUUGGGAGUCAUGGCAUUGCCGCCUUUGCACCACCACCAUGAAAUAAAUGCUGGUGCUGCUGAGCGCGUAAAUUGGCCCCGUGUGCCCUCGGGCACAGUCGGUUGAAGAGCGGGCAGUCGCCAAUCGUCGGGCACGAUGGGUGUUGGUCGCGGUGAGCGGGAACAGAACAUCGUCCCCGUCGUAUUGUGGCGUAUGAGUGUCCCCAAGAGACCCUGUGUGAUUGUGGCGUCCGGCGAAAAUGCCGCGUCGUCCAUCAACUUGUGGCCCCAAGUCAGGCGAGACCACCCGCCGAGUUUAAGCAUAUCAAUAAG